rnacentral:rRNA from 1 species
UACGAAGGGGGCUAGCGUUGUUCGGAAUUACUGGGCGUAAAGCGCGCGCAGGCGGCUAUCCAAGUCAGUGGUGAAAGCCCGGAGCUUAACUCCGGAACUGCCAUUGAAACUGUUUAGCUUGAGGACGAGAGAGGUGAGUGGAAUUCCCAGUGUAGGGGUGAAAUUCGUAGAUAUUGGGAAGAACACCGGUGGCGAAGGCGGCUCACUGGCUCGUUUCUGACGCUCAGGCGCGACAGCGUGGGGAUCAAACAGG